GGCGACGUGGCCAAGUGGUAAGGCAAGGGUCUGCAAAACCCUGAUGCGUGGGUUCGAUUCCCACCGUCGCCU
rnacentral:tRNA from 2 species